rnacentral:rRNA from 1 species
CAGCAGCCGCGGUAAUACGAAGGGUGCAGGCGUUAAUCGGAAUUACUGGGCGUAAAGCGUGCGUAGGCGGUUUGUUAAGUCUGUUGUGAAAUCCCCGGGCUCAACCUGGGAAUGGCAAUGGAUACUGGCAAGCUAGAGUGUGUCAGAGGAUGGUGGAAUUCCCGGUGUAGCGGUGAAAUGCGUAGAGAUCGGGAGGAACAUCAGUGGCGAAGGCGGCCAUCUGGGACAACACUGACGCUGAGGCACGAAAGCGUGGGGAACAAACAGGAUUAGAUACCCCGGUAGUCCCUGUCUCUUAUAC